rnacentral:rRNA from 1 species
UACGUAGGGGGCUAGCGUUGUCCGGAAUCAUUGGGCGUAAAGAGCGUGUAGGCGGUCCGGUAAGUCCGCUGUGAAAGUCGGGGGCUCAACCCUCGGAUGCCGGUGGAUACUGUCGGGCUCGAGUACGGAAGAGGCGAGUGGAAUUCCUGGUGUAGCGGUGAAAUGCGCAGAUAUCAGGAGGAACACCAAUUGCGAAGGCAGCUCGCUGGGACGUUACUGACGCUGAGACGCGAAAGCGUGGGGAGCAAACAGGAU